rnacentral:rRNA from 1 species
GGGCGUAAAGGGCGCGUAGGCGGAUUAUCAAGUCUCUUGUGAAAUCUAAUGGCUUAACCAUUAAACUGCUUGGGAAACUGAUAGUCUAGAGUGAGGGAGAGGCAGAUGGAAUUGGUGGUGUAGGGGUAAAAUCCGUAGAUAUCACCAAGAAUACCCAUUGCGAAGGCGAUCUGCUGGAACUCAACUGACGCUAAGGCGCGAAAGCGUGGGGAGCAAACAGGAUUAGAUACCCUGGUAGUCCACGCCCUAAACGAUGUACACUAGUUGUUGGGGUGCUAGUCAUCUCAGUAAUGCAGCUAACGCAUUAAGUGUACCGCCUGGGGAGUACGGUCGCAAGAUUAAAACUCAAAGGAAUAGACGGGGACCCGCACAAGCGGUGGAGCAUGUGGUUUAAUUCGAAGAUACGCGAAGAACCUUACCUGGGCUUGAUAUCCUAAGAACCUUUUAGAGAUAAGAGGGUGCUAGCUUGCUAGAACUUAGAGACAGGUGCUGCACGGCUGUCGUCAGCUCGUGUCGUGAGAUGUUGGGUUAAGUCCCGCAACGAGCGCAACCCACGUAUUUAGUUGCUAACGGUUCGGCCGAGCACUCUAAAUAGACUGCCUUCGUAAGGAGGAGGAAGGUGUGGACGACGUCAAGUCAUCAUGGCCCUUAUGCCCAGGGCGACACACGUGCUACAAUGGCAUAUACAAUGAGACGCAAUACCGCGAGGUGGAGCAAAUCUAUAAAAUAUGUCCCAGUUCGGAUUGUUCUCUGCAACUCGAGAGCAUGAAGCCGGAAUCGCUAGUAAUCGUAGAUCAGCCAUGCUACGGUGAAUACGUUCCCGGGUCUUGUACUCACCGCCCGUCACACCAUGGGAGUUGAUUUCACUCGAAGCCGGAAUACUAAACUAGUUACCGUCCACAGUGGAAUCAGCGACUGGGGUGAAGUCGUAACAAGGUAACCGUAGGAGAACCUGCGGUUGGAUCACCUCCUUUCUA